UUGGAGGGUUGUGUUAGUACAGUGAUGAACUGUAGAGAUGUGAGCUGGAGGGUUGUGUUAGUACAGUGAUGAACUGUAGAGAUGUGAGCUGGAGGUAAUUGGAGGGUUGUGUUAGUACAGUGAUGAACUGUAGAGAUGUGAGCUGGAGGGUUGUGUUAGUACAGUGAUGAACUGUAGAGAUGUGAGCUGGAGGGUUGUGUUAGUACAGUGAUGAACUGUAGAGAUGUGAGCUGGAGGGUUGUGUUAGUACAGUGAUGAACUGUAGAGAUGUGAGCUGGAGGGUUGUGUUAGUACAGUGAUGAACUGUAGAGAUGUGAGCUGGAGGGUUGUGUUAGUACAGUGAUGAACUGUAGAGAUGUGAGCUGGAGGGUUGUGUUAGUACAGUGAUGAACUGUAGAGAUGUGAGCUGGAGGGUUGUGUUAGUACAGUGAUGAACUGUAGAGAUGUGAGCUGGAGGGUUGUGUUAGUACAGUGAUGAACUGUUAGCGGAAGGUAAUUGUCAACAUCUAUUUGGGUCUGGUUGGACCAUUGUUCUCUUUCUGAGGAAGGCUGACACAGAAACACGGCAUUGUUUUUAACAUGCCACAGAAAUAAAGACAUUUCGAUAAUAGCAAGAUUGGCUUGGUCCUCCUUUGGUUUAGGGGUCAGACUGGUUAGACAGAAACACGAGUACACCUGACCCUCCUAUUGGCUGGGUUUACACGGACAUGAGCUGAUCUGAGGCUGCCUGUGUGGAGGCAGCGUUAAGUUCCUCACAGUAGCAGCACAAGGAAGAGUGCUGUGGUUCUGCUUGUGAUGUAGGGGUUAUACUGUUCCAGUGAAGAGCACCUUCAAAAUGUACCUUUUGUUCU